ACGUAUUACGGAACGAGUAAAGAGACUUGCCGGUAACGAGAUUGAACUAGGUAUUGGAUACCGACGAUCAAAUCUCGGGCAAGUAACAUACCGAUGACAAAGGGAACAACGUAUGUUGUUGUGCGGUUUGACCGAUAAAGAUCUUCGUAGAAUAUGUAGGAACCAAUAUGGGCAUCCAGGUCCUGCUAUUGGUUAUUGACCGGAGACGUGUCUCGGUCAUGUCUACAUUGUUCUCGAACCGUAGGGUCCGCACGCUUAAGGUUUCGAUGACAAUUAUAUUAUGAGUUUAUGAGUUUUGAUGUACCGAAGGAGUUCGGAGUCCCGGAUGAGAUCGGGGACAUGACGAGGAGUCUCGAAAUGGUCGAGACGUAAAGAUCGACAUAUUGGACGACUAUAUUCGGAGUUCAGAAAGGUUCCGAGUGAUUCGGGUAUUUUUCGGAGUACCGGAGAGUUACGGGAAUUCGUAUUGGGCCUCAUUGGGCCAUACGGGAAAAGAGAGAGAGGGCCUAAAGGGUGGCCGCACCCCUCCCCUUUGGCUAGUCCGAAUUGGACUAGGGAGGGGGGGCGCCCCCUUCCUUCCUUCUCCUUCUCUCUUCCCUUUCCUUCUCUUCUACUCCUACUAUAUGGAAGGGUUACUAGUUGGACUAGGAAAGGGGGAAUCCUACUCCCGGUGGGAGUAGGACUCCCCUAGGGCGCGCCAUAGAGAGAGGGCCGGCCCUCCCCCUCCUCCACUCCUUUAUAUACGGGGGUAGGGGCACCCCAUAGACACACAAGUUGAUCAUUGAUCGUUCCUUAGCCGUGUGCGGUGCCCCCCUCCACGAUAUUACACCUCGAUCAUAUUGUAGCGGUGCUUAGGCGAAGCCCUGCGACAGGAGAACAUCAAGAUCGUCACCGUGCCGUCGUGCUGACGGAACUCCCCCUCGGAGCCUCUAUUGGAUUGGAGAUCGAGGGUGCGUCAUCAAGCUGUACGCGUGUCAAGAACUCGGAGGUGCCGGAGUAACGGUGCUUGGAUCGGUCGGACCGGGAGGACGUACGACGACUUCCUCUACGUUGCGUCAACGCUUCCGCUUCGGUCUACGAGGGUACGUAGACAACACUCUCCCCUCGUUGCUAUAUCAUCACCAUGAUCUUGUGUGUGCGUAGGAAAUUUUUUGAAAUUACUACGUUCCCCAGCAGUGGCAUCCGAGCCUAGGAUUUUAUGGUUUGAUGUUAUUUGCACGAGUAGAACACAAGUGAGUUGUGGGCGAUAUAAGUCAUACUGCUUACCAGCAUGUCAUACUUUGGUUCAGCGGUAUUGUUGGAUGAAGCGGCCCGGACCGACAUUACGCGUACGCUUACGCGAGACUGGUUUUACCGCCGUGCUUUGCACACAGGUGACUAGCGGGUGUCUGUUUCUCCAACUUUAGUUGAACCGAGUGUGGCUACGCCCGGUCCUUGCGAAGGUUAAAACAGCAUCAACUUGACAAACUAUCGUUGUGGUUUUGAUGCGUAGGUGAGAUUGGUUCUUGCUUAAGCCCGUAGCAGCCACGUAAAAUUUGCAACAACAAAGUAGAGGACGUCUAACUUGUUUUUGCAGGGCAUGUUGUGAUGUGAUAUGGUCAAGACGUGAUGCUAUAUUUUAUUGUAUGAGAUGAUCAUGUUUUGUAACCGAAGUUAUCGGCAACUGGCAGGAGCCAUAUGGUUGUCGCUUUAUUGUAUGAAAUGCAAACGCCCUGUAAUUGUUUUACUUUAUCACUAAGCGGUAGCGAUAGUCGUAGUUGCAAUAGAUGGCGUAAUGACAACGAUGCUACGAUGGAGAUCAAGGUGUCGCGCCGGUGACGAUGGUGAUCACGACGGUGCUUCGAAGAUGGAGAUCACAAGCACAAGAUGAUGAUGGCCAUAUCAUAUCACUUAUAUUGAUUGCAUGUGAUGUUUAUCCUUUAUGCAUCUUAUCUUGCUUUGAUUGACGGUAGCAUUUUAAGAUGAUCUCUCACUAAAAUUAUCAAGAAGUGUUCUCCCUGAGUAUGCACCGUUGCCAAAGUUCGUCGUGCCGAGACACCACGUGAUGAUCGGGUGUGAUAAGCUCUACGUCUAUCUACAACGGGUGCAAGCCAGUUUUGCACACGCGGAAUACUCAGGUUAUACUUGACGAGCCUAGCAUAUGCAGAUAUGGCCUCGGAACACGGAGACCGAAAGGUCGAGCGUGAAUCAUAUAGUAGAUAUGAUCAACAUAGUGAUGUUCACCAUUGAAAACUACUCCAUCUCACGUGAUGAUCGGUCAUGGUUUAGUUGAUUUGGAUCACGUAAUCACUUAGAUGACUAGAGAGAUGUCUGUCUAAGUGGGAGUUCGUAAGUAAUAUGAUUAAUUGAACUUUAAUUUAUCAUGAACUUAGUCCUGGUAGUAUUUUGCAAAUUAUGUUGUAAGAUCAAUAAGCUUGCGUUGUUGCUUUCAUAUGUUUAUUUUGAUGUGUUCCUAGAGAAAAUUGUGUUGAAAAAUGUUAGUAGCAAUGAUGCGGAUUUGAUCCGUGAUCUGAGGUUUAUCCUCAUUGCUGCACAGAAGAAUUAUGUCCUUGAUGCACCGCUAGGUGACAGACCUAUUGCAGGAGCAGAUGCAGACGUUAUGAACGUUUGGCUAGCUCAAUAUGAUGACUACUUGAUAGUUUAGUGCACCAUGCGUAACGGCUUAGAAUCGGGACCUCAAAGACGUUUUGAACGUCAUGGACCAUAUAAGAUGUUCCAGGAGUUGAAGUUAAUAUUUCAAGCAAAUACCCGAGUUGAGAGAUAUGAAGUCUCCAACAAGUUCUAUAGCUAAAAGAUGGAGGAGAAUCGCUCAACUAGUGAGCAUGUGCUCAGAUUGUCUGGGUACUACAAUCGCUUGAAUCAAGUGGGAGUUAAUCUUCUAGAUAAGAUAGUGAUUGACAGAAUUCUCUAGUCACCAUCACCAAGUUAGUAGAACUUCGUGAUGAACUAUAGUAUGCAAGGGAUGAUGAAAAUGAUUCCCGAGCUCUUCGUGAUGUUGAAAUCGACGAAGGUAGAAAUCAAGAAAGAGCAUCAAGUGUUGAUGAUUGACAAGAUCACUAGUUUCAAGAAAAGGGCAAAGGGAAAGAAAGGGGAACUUCAAGUAGAUUGACAAGCAAGUUGUCACUCCCACGAAGAAGCCCAAAGCUGAACCAAAGCCUGAAACUGAGUGCUUACACUGCAAAGGAAAUGGUCACUGGAAGCGGAACUGCCCUAAAUAUUUGGUGGAUAAGAAGGAUGGCAAAGUGAAAAAGGGUAUAUUUGAUAUACAGAUGUUUGAUGUGUGCUUUACUAGUGUUUAUAGCAACCCCUCGGUAUUUGGUACUGGUUCAGUUGCUAAGAGUAGUAACUCGAAACGGGAGUUGCAGAAUAAACAGAAACUAGUUAAGGGUGAAGUGAUGAUGUGUGUUGAAAGUAGUUUCAAGAUUGAAAUGAUCAUCAUCGCACACUCCCUAUACUUUCGGGAUUAGUGUUGAACCUAAAUAAGUGUUAUUUGGUGUUUGCGUUGAGCAUGAAUAUGAUUUGAUCAUGUUUAUUGCAAUACGGUUAUUCAUUUAAGUAAGAGAAUAAACUGUUGUUCUGUUUACAUGAAUAAAACCUUAUAUGGUUACACACCCAAUGAAAAUGGUUCAUUGGAUCUUGAUCAUAGUGAUACACAUAUUCAUAAUAUUGAAACCAAAAGAUGCAAAGUUAAUAAUGAUAGUGCAACUUAUUUGUGGCACUGCCGUUUAGGUCAUAUCGGUGUAAAGCGCAUGAAGAAACUCCAUGCUGAUGGGAUUUUGGAAUCACUUGAUUAUGAAUCACUUGAUGCUUGCGAACCAUGCCUCAUGGGCAAGAUGACUAAGACUCCGUUCUCCGGAACAAUGGAGCGAGCAACAGAUUUGUUGGAAAUCAUACAUACUGAUGUAUGUCGUCCGAUGAAUAUUAAGGCUCGCGACAAGUAUCAUUAUUUUCUGACCUUCACAGUUGAUUUGAAGCAGAUAUGAGUAUAUCUACUUGAUGAAACACAAGUCUUAAACAUUUAAAAAGUUCAAAGAAUUUCAGAGUGAAGUAGAGAAUCAUCGUAACAAGAAAAUAAAAGUUUCUACGAUAUGAUCGCAGAAGUAAAAUAUUUGAGUUACGAGUUUGGUCUUCAAUUAAAACAAUGUGUAAUAGUUUCACAAAUUCAUGCCACCUGGAACACCACAUCAUAAUGGUGUUUCCGAACGUCAUAACCGUACUUUAUUGGAUAUAGUACAAUCCAUGAUGUUUCUUACCGAUUUACCAAUAUCGUUUUGGGAUCAUGCAUUAGAGACAGCUGCAUUCACGUUAAAUAGGGCACCAUCUAAAUCCGUUGAGACGACACUAUAUGAACUGUGGUUUAGCAAGAAACCAAAGUUGUCGUUUCUUAAAGUUUGGGGCUGCGAUGCUUAUGUGAAAAAGUUUCAUCCUGAUAAGCUCAAACCCAAAUCGGAGAAGUGCGUCUUCAUAGAAUACCCAAAGGAAAUUGUUGGGUACACCUUCUAUCACAGAUCCGAAGGCAAAACAUUCAUUGCUAAUAAUGGAUCCUUUCUAGAGAAGGAGUUUCUCUCGAAAGAAGUGAGUGGGAGGAAAGUAGAACUUGAUGAGAUAAUUGUACCUUCUCCCUUAUUGGAAAGUAGUUCAUCACAGAAAUCUGUUCCUGUGACUACUACACCAAUUAGUGAGGAAGCUAAUGAUGAUGAUCAUGUAACUUCAGAUCAAGUUACUACCGAAUAUCAUAGCUAAACCAGAGUGAGAUCCGCACCAGAGUGGUACGGUAAUCCUGUUCUGGAAGUCAUGUUACUAGACCAUGAUAAACCUAUGAACUAUGAGGAAGCGAUGAUGAGCCCAGAUUCCGCGAAAUGGCUUGAGGCCGUGAAAUCUGAGAUUGGAUCCAUGUAUGAAAACAAAGUGUGGACUUUGGUGGAGUUGCCCGUUGAUCGGCAAGCCAUAUUGUAUAAAUGGAUCUUUAAGAGGAAGACGGACGUUGAUAGUAGUGUUACUAUCUACAAAGCUCGACUUGUCGCAGAAGAGUUUUCGACAAGUUCAAGGUGUUGACUACAAUGAGAUUUUCUCAACUGUAGCAAUGCUUAAGUCUGUCCGAAUCAUGUUAGCAAUUGCCACAUUUUAUGAAAUCUGGCAAAUGGAUGUCAAAACUGCAUUCCUUAAUGGUUUUCUUAAAGAAGAGUUGUAUAUGAUGCAACCAGAAGGUUUUGUCAAUCCUAAAGGUGUUAACAAAAUGUGCAAGCUCCAGCGAUCCAUCUAUGGACUGGUGCAAGCAUCUCAGAGUUGGAAUAUACGUUUUGAUAUGUUGAUCAAAGCAUAUAGUUUUGUACAGACUUAUGAUGAAGCCUGUAUUUACAAGAAAGUGAGUGGGAGCACUACAACAUUUCUGAUAAGUAUAUGUGAAUAACAUAUUGUUGAUCGGAAAUAAUGUAGAAUUAUUCUGCAAAGCAUGAAAGGAUACUUGAAUAAGAGUUUUUCAAAGAAAGACCUCGGUGAAGCUACUUACACAUUGAGCAUCAAGAUCUAUAUAGAUAGAUCAAGACGCUUGAUAAGAAUUUUCAAUGAAUACAUACCUUGAUAAAUUUUUGAAAUAGUUCAAAAUGGAACAGUCAAAGAAGGAGUUCUUGCCUGUGUUGCAAGGUGUGAAAUUGAGUAAGACUCAAGACCCGACCAUGGCAGAAAAUAGAAAGAGAAUGAAAAGUCAUUCCCUAUGCCUCAGUCAUAGGUUCUAUAAAGUAUGCUAUGCUGUGAACCAGACCUAUGGUAUACCUUGCUCUGAAUUUGGCAAGGGAGUACAAUAGUGAUCUAGGAGUAGAUCACUGAACAUUGGUCAAGAAUAUCCUUAGUAAGGACUAAGGAGAUGUUUCUCGAUUAUGGAGGUGAUAAAAGAGUUUGUUGUAAAAGUUACAUCAGUGCAAACUUUUACACUGAUCCAGAUGACUCUAAGUCUCAACCUGGAUACAUAUUGAAAGUGGGAGCAAUUAGCUAGAGUAGCUCCGUGCAGAGCAUUGUGGACAUAAAAUAUUUGCAAAAUACAUACGGCUCUGAAUGUGACAGACCCAUUGACUAAGCUUCUCUCACGAGCAAAACAUGAUCACACCUUAGUACUCUUUGGGUGUUAAUCACAUAGCGAUGUGAACUAGAUUAUUGACUCUAGUAAACCCUUUGGAUGUUGGUCACAUGAUAAUGUGAACUAUGGGUGUUAAUCAUAUACAGAUAUGAAUAUUGGUGUUAAAUCACAUGGCGAUGUGAACUAGAUUAUUGACUCUAGUGCAAGUGGGAGACUGAAGGAAAUAUGCCCUAGAGGCAAUAAUAAAGUUAUUAUUUAUUUCCUUAUUUCAUGAUAAAUGUUUAUUAUUCAUGCUAGAAUUGUAUUAACCGGAAACAUAAUACAUGUGUGAAUACAUAGACAAAACUAUAGUCACUAGUAUGCCUCUACUUGACUAGCUCAUUAAUCAAAGAUGGUUAUGUUUCCCAAUCAUAGACAUGUGUUGUCAUUUGAUUAGUGGGAUCACAUCAUUAGAAGAAUGAUGUGAUUGACAUGACCCAUUCUGUUAGCCUAGCACUUGAUCGUUUAGUAUACUGCUAUUGCUUUCUUCAUGACUUAUACAAAGUUCCUGCAACUAUGAGAUUGUGCAACUCCCGUUUACCGGAAGAACACUUUGUGUGCUACCAAACGUCACAACGUAACUGGGUGAUUAUAAAGGUGCUCUACAGGUGUUUCCGAAGGUACAUGUUGAGUUGGCAUAAUUCGAGAUUAGGAUUUGUCACUCCGAUUGUCGGAGAGGUAUCUCUGGGCCCUCUCGGUAGUACUCAUCACCUAAGCCUUGCAAGCAUGUAACUAAUGAGUUAGUUAUGAGAUGACGUAUUACGGAACGAGUAAAGAGACUUGCCGGUAACGAGAUUGAACUAGGUAUUGGAUACCGACGAUCAAAUCUCGGGCAAGUAGCAUACCGAUGACAAAGGGAACAACGUAUGUUGUUGUGCGGUUUGACCGAUAAAGAUCUUCGUAGAAUAUGUAGGAACCAAUAUGGGCAUCCAGGUCCCGCUAUUGGUUAUUGACCGGAGACGUGUCUCGGUCAUGUCUACAUUGUUCUCGAACCGUAGGGUCCGCACGCUUAAGGUUUCGAUGACAGUUAUAUUAUGAGUUUAUGAGUUUUGAUGUACCGAAGGAGUUCGGAGUCCCGGAUGAGAUCGGGGACAUGACAAGGAGUCUCGAAAUGGUCGAGACGUAAAGAUCGAUAUAUUGGACGACUAUAUUCGGAGUUCGGAAAGGUUCCGAGUGAUUCGGGUAUUUUUCGGAGUACCGGAGAGUUACGGGAAUUCGUAUUGGGCCUCAUUGAGCCAUACGGGAAAAGAGAGAGAGGGCCUAAAGGGUGGCCGCACCCCUCCCCUUUGGCUAGUCCGAAUUGGACUAGGGAGGGGGGGCGCCCCCUUCCUUCCUUCUCCUUCUCUCUUCCCUUUCCUUCUCUUCUACUCCUACUAUAUGGAAGGGUUACUAGUUGGACUAGGAAAGGGGGAAUUCUACUCCCGGUGGGAGUAGGACUCCCCUAGGGCGCGCCAUAGAGAGAGGGCCGGCCCUCCCCCUCCUCCACUCCUUUAUAUACGGGGGUAGGGGCACCCCAUAGACACACAAGUUGAUCAUUGAUCGUUCCUUAGCCGUGUGCGGUGCCCCCCUCCACGAUAUUACACCUCGAUCAUAUUGUAGCGGUGCUUAGGCGAAGCCCUGCGACAGGAGAACAUCAAGAUCGUCACCACGCCGUCGUGCUGACGGAACUCCCCCUCGGAGCCUCUACUGGAUUGGAGAUCGAGGGUGCGUCAUCGAGCUGUACGCGUGUCAAGAACUCGGAGGUGCCGGAGUAACGGUGCUUGGAUCGGUCGGAUCGGGAGGACGUACGACUACUUCCUCUACGUUGCGUCAACGCUUCCGCUUCGGUCUACGAGGGUACGUAGACAACACUCUCCCCUCGUUGCUAUAUCAUCACCAUGAUCUUGCGUGUGCGUAGGAAAUUUUUUGAAAUUACUACGUUCCUCAACAA
rnacentral:lncRNA from 1 species